UCUUCUUCUACAGCACAACUGUUUCUCUUGCUCAGAAACCAUCUCUGGGAAGAGCAACAAUUUACCCAGUAGAGAGUGAAGGUCUAAGAUUCCCAAAGCAUCCUAAGACAUCUGCUCUGUAUUGGUUUGCAGAGCUGCUCGAGAAACACGAGCUCUGCAGCAAGAAAACAGAUUCUAUUUCAUGGCCAGAGCUCUGGGAGUAAAGAAAAGGAGGAUUAAAGAAAACAGUUAAAAUACA